rnacentral:rRNA from 1 species
GCUAAGACUGGAUAGGAAGUUUUAAGGCAUCUUGAAACUUUUAAAAGACCCGCAAGGGUAUGCUGAGAGAUGGGCUUGCGGCACAUUAGUUAGUUGGUAAGGUAACGGCUUACCAAGACCAUGAUGUGUAGCUGGACUGAGAGGUUGAACGGCCACAUUGGGACUGAGAUACGGCCCAAACUCCUACGGGAGGCAGCAGUAAGGAAUUUUCGGCAAUGGAGGAAACUCUGACCGAGCAACGCCGCGUGAACGAUGAAGUAUUUAGGUAUGUAAAGUUCUUUUAUUAAAGAAGAAAAAAUGAUGGAAAAAUCAUUCUGACGGUAUUUAAUGAAUAAGCCCCGGCUAACUAUGUGCCAGCAGCUGCGGUAAUACAUGGGGGGCAAGCGUUAUCCGGAUUUAUUGGGCGUAAAGGGUGCGUAGGCGGUUUAAUAAGUCUAUGGUCUAAGUUCAACGCUUAACGUUGUGAUGCUAUAGAAACUGUUUGACUAGAGUUGGAUAGAGGCAAGCGGAAUUCCAUGUGUAGCGGUAAAAUGCGUAAAGAUAUGGAGGAACACCAGUAGCGAAGGCGGCUUGCUGGGUCUUAACUGACGCUGAGGCACGAAAGCGUGGGGAGCAAACAGGAUUAGAUACCCUGGUAGUCCACGCCGUAAACGAUGAGUACUAAGUGUUGGGUUAAACCAGUGCUGAAGUUAACGCAUUAAGUACUCCGCCUGAGUAGUACGUACGCAAGUAUGAAACUUAAAGGAAUUGACGGGACUCCGCACAAGCGGUGGAUCAUGUUGUUUAAUUCGAAGAUACACGAAAAACCUUACCAGGUCUUGACAUACUCUGCAAAGCUAUAGAAAUAUAGUGGAGGUUAUCAGGGAUACAGGUGGUGCAUGGUUGUCGUCAGCUCGUGUCGUGAGAUGUUGGGUUAAGUCCCGCAACGAGCGCAACCCUUAUCGCUAGUUACCAUCAUUUAGUUGGGCACUUUAGUGAGACUGCCAAUGAUAAAUUGGAGGAAGGUGGGGAUUACGUCAAAUCAUCAUGCCCCUUAUGACCUGGGCUACAAACGUGAUACAAUGGCUGUUACAAAGAGUAGCUGAAGCGUGAGUUUUUAGCAAAUCUCAAAAAAACAGUCUCAGUUCGGAUUGAAGUCUGCAACUCGACUUCAUGAAGUCGGAAUCGCUAGUAAUCGCGAAUCAGCAUGUCGUGGUGAAUACGUUCUCGGGGUUUGUACACGCCGCCCGUCAAA